AUGUCUGCCUCUCCACAGUCUGCCAACCCUGUACCACAGUCCCCUGUGAUGGAAAAGAGUGAAGCCAUACCACAAGAGGCCCUGUCAACCAAGCCCAAUGACCCCCAAGAGGUCAAGGCUGACGAGCUGGAGAUUGUCGAGUCAGCCCCCAGCCCUGUGCCAAGCCUCAUCCCAGCCCACCUCGCAAACGACAAAGACCCAGAGAGCGACUCAGGCCUCCCCGACCGUUCCUCUGAACCCAACCAACACCCUCAGAUGGAGAAAGCAGGAAGUGCCGCGGAGAGCACCGGCACCUUCUCCUCCUCCCCUCCCCCACCCACCUUGGUCCUGCUGCGAAGAGAAUCCCCCUCCUCGCCCAGAUUGAGCCGCAUCCCCAUACGAGAUCCAACCACCGUCCCGGAUUCCCCCACUAUGGACCGCCGCCACCGCUGGAGCAGCCCCGUGCCUGGCUCGCCUUCCCACUCGCCCUCGCUCUCCUGCGACAACCUGCUGCCCUGUGGCGUCCGGGAGAGGUUCCUUUCCUGCUCAGACCGCGGCUCACGCUCCGACUGGCUGGGGGAAGACCGUGACUCCCUCUCGCUCUCCUCCUCGGGCAGCAGGAGUAAAAUCCCCCGGCCCGUCAUUCCCCCUGUUCCGGGGCUCGAGCAGCAGCAGCUCUCCUCCUCCAGCAGGUUCCUGCCUCGUCCGCCUCCCGGGAAACCGCCCACCCGCCCAGCUGUAGAUAACAGUAGGCGCCGGCGUUUCCGGGUGUGCGCUAGCAGCACCAGCGAUGCCGACUUCCUUGCCAGUCUGACCCAACUGAUGAAUGACCGCGGCGGUGCACUUUUCAGUCCGGCGCCACACCCCCGCAGCUCUUCCUCCUCUCUACAGCGCUCACUCAGCUCCUCCCCCUCACGUCACGAGCUCCGUGAGGGGGGAGGGGUCUUCCUGGGGCGUAGCCGCUCUCCGUCCAGCUUCUCGGGAUCCCCUCCCCCUCCAUGGUACCCCCAGGACAGGCUUAGUGGGUGGCAGGGGAUCCCAUGGGGCGCAGGGCCCGGUGCCAGAGGGAGGGGCCCUAGCCACGAGGGCAAAGGCAGCGGCAAAGUGAGCCGAUAAGUGGACAGAAUGGAUAGCAGUGUGUUGUUCAGUAGGGCACACCAUUGUAAAACAUUUUGCAACGAUAUAUCCGAAAUGAGCGUUUCUCAUUGGACACGUUCAGCCAGGGCCUUGUCAGCUCAUUAGGCGGCUACCUAUGGCGGCAGAUUGACAAGGGUGGCAUUUUCUGGGCUAAACUGAACAAGAUGCACCCCCAACAACACAACCUCAAAUAAUUCUGCCCCAAAACAAUGACAAUUUCUCUCAACCAGUGACAUAUGGACUUUUUAGGUGAGCGCUGAUGCCGCCCUGUGAUAAGCAGUUCCCACUUUGUCAAAGGCAGGGGCACAAAAAUGUUGCUUGUCCAUUCCCAGCGCUGGGCGCUCCACCAACGUUCCAUUAAGAAAAUUAUCUAACAUAAAUCAUGUAGCAGAUAUAGCCAGCGUAAAAACAUGAGCCAUUCACAAUAAUUACAGCAAAAUGUCAAGAAAACUGUAUGCUAUUACACUACUUUAUACUUAACGCAUGUCAGAGGCAUGACAAAUUAGCGAAUAGACUUGAAAACGGGUGGUAGAGCCUACAGUCAAAUGUGAUGUGGUUCGACGAGAACAGUGACAUUUUGCCAAGGCAGAGACGUGGCGACAUGACAAUAGCCAAAUUUGUCAUUUCACUUUUUGUUUUUUAUGUUUAACAGAUGUCUCUUUCCAUUCACCACUGUUUGGUGUCUGGUAAUAUGUUGCAAGUGGAUGAAUGUACACGGGUAGCCUAUGAAGGAGCCCGUUGAAGGGAUUGUUUAACAACCGGAUGAAAACAUUUUGACUGGUUGUUUUAAUGCCACUGUAAAAGGUAAUGCAUUUUAAAAGUUAAAUAACAGAUCUUUACGACUAGGCCCACUGAGAUCCUAUUGAAUUAAUAGGGACUCUACAUAUCAUUCUAUGAUUAGGCCCGUUGAAAAAUGUUGGUGCACGCGGUUGGUCCCGUACCGGGAAGAAAUGAAUUAUACUUUCACCCCUGAAUAUAGCAUAUGGUAGGAAGAGUAUGUGGCCUUUUCUGUAGCCUACAGGCUGGAGAUAAAAUGAAUGACAAUGUAAUGAGAUGGACACUUUUUACAUCAUACAGGUUUCUCCGAUCAAAUACCCUAAUCUAAAUUGCGUUGACAUGUUAAACAACAUAUCCUAAAAACAGGACAGGACAAAGUCAAAUGGACAAUAUAAAAUGGAUAAUCAGGCUACUCACAACUGCUAUCCAGAAAUGUCACCCUGUGGGCAAAAUGUUCAUGAUCAGUGGUUUAAAGUUUGUAUCUGUUCAUUUUUGACAAGCUGAUCAUGGCGAAAAAGAAAAUACUUCUGAUUUCCCGCUGUGUAAACAUAUUGCAAAUAGGCUCAGGAUAACUCCUGAUGAAGUUGUGUAGCUGAUAUUCAGAGCUGAAAUAGCCAAGUUUAUUAGUCACAGGAAUCAGGACUAAUAAAGCCAAUGCAACGCCUGUUUUACAAACGGUGGGUCUUCCACAUGGUUGGGCAUUGAUAAAAUUCCUUUACAGACCAACACAGUAGGCUUCACCCUAGUAAGCAUGGGCCGAUGUCUCCUGGAUGUCUUUUUUUGGUCCUGUCCGGACCUGCCGUCUUUUAUUGAUGUUUUACAAACAGUAGGCCUACCAAAUAGAUGGACAUUCAUAAAAUUCUAAUUAGGCGACACUGUAGGCUACACCUCAGUAAGCACGGAUCGAUGCCGUCGACUUUUGCAUGUUUUUUGGGGGGGGGUCCUAUCUGGACCGGCCUUGAUUUGCACAUCCACGGAUGUUGGUUUUUAGUCCGGUCCAGACCAAAUCAUAGACAUCUAUCUUUGGUUCAGAUUUUGUCCGGUCUGGACCGUCUUUCAUUUGUCUCGCCGAGGGCGACAGAACAGCCAGGACCAGCCCUGCUUUCAGCAGGUACAUCUCCGUUUCGUCCCCACUGCACACGACCCAGGCGGUUACUAUGGUUACUCAGACUGUCAUAAUGUAUGUACAGAGAACGUACUGUAUCUGAUCCAUUCUUCAACUUUGACAGCAUGUGUAAAUAUAUAUGAUAUACUACUGUACUCCAGGGAAUGUACUGUAUGUAAUGUAAAAUGUAUGAUAGAAUGUAUCUAAUUAUUUGAUGUGUCUCGAAAAAUGUACUUGAAUAAUGUAGCUUGAUUCCAGCGUCGGAACGUCAGAUUUCCGAAAAACAUUGAGAUGGUCUACUCUUUCUCACUGACCCCAGUCCUGUGUUCUUAACACUAUGUAUGUAUGUAUGCCAUGAGACCAAAACGAUCUGUACUGUAUCAUAUGAGGGAUCUAAAGGAGGUCGCCUUGUAUAUACAGUUGAAGUCGGAAGUUUACAUACACUUAGGUUGGAGUCAUUAAAACUAGUUUUUCAACCACUCCACAAAUUUCUUGUUAACAAAUUAUAGUUUUGGCAAGUCGGUUAGGACAUCUACUUUGUGCAUGACACAAGUCAUUUUUCCAACAAUUGUUUACUGACAGAUAAUUUCACUUAUAAUUCACUGUAUCACAAUUCCAGUGGGUCAAAAGUUUACAUGCACUAAGUUGACUGCCUUUAAACAGCUUGGAAAAUACCAGAAAAUGAUGUCUUGGCUUUAGAAGCUUCUAAUAGGUUAAUUGACAUAAUUUGAGUCAAUUGGAGGUGUACCUGUGGAUGUAUUUCAAGUCCUACCUUCAAACUGUGCCUCUUUGCUUGACAUCAUGGGAAAAUCAAAAGAAAUCAGCCAACAGCCACCAACCUCAGAAAAAAAAUUGUAGACCUCCACAAGUCUGGUUCAUCCUUGGGAGCAAUUUCCAAAUGCCUGAAGGUACCACGUUCAUCUGUACAAACAAUAGUACGCAAGUAUAAACACCAUGGACCACGCAGCCAUCGUACUGCUCAGGAAGGAGACGCAUUCUGUCUCCUAGAGAUUAACGUACUUUGGUGCGAAAAGUGCAAAUCAAUCCCAGAACAACAGCAAAGGACCUUGUGAAGAUGCUGGAGGAAACGGGUACAAAAGUAUCUAUAGCCACAGUAAAACAAGUUCUAUAUCGACAUAACCUGAAAGGCCGCUCAGCAAGGAAGAAGCCACUGCUCCAAAACCGCCAUAAAAAAGCCAGACUAUGGUUUGCAACUGCACAUGGGGACAAAGAUCAUACUUUCCUGACCUGGGUCUUUCAAAUUGACAAUGACCCCAAGCAUACUUCCAAAGUUGUGGCAAAAUGGUUUAAGGACAACAAACUCAAGGUAUUGGAGUGGCCAUCACAAAGCCCUGAUCUCAAUCCUAUAGGACAUUUGUGGGCAGAACUGAAAAAGCGUGUGCGAGCAAGGAGGCCUACAAACCUGACUCAGUUACACCAGCUUUGUCAGGAGGAAUGGGCCAAAAUUCACCCAACUUAUUGUGGGAAGCUUGUGGAAGGCUAACCGAAACGUUUGACCCAAGUUAAACAAUUUAAAGGCAAUGCUACCAAAUACUAAUUGAGUGUAUGUACACUUCUGACCCACUGGGAAUGUGAUAAAAUAAAUAAAUGCUGAAAUAAAUCAUUCUCUGUACUAUUAUUCUGACAUUUCACAUUCUUAAAAUAAAGUGGUGAUGCUAACUGACCUAAGACAGGGAAUUUGUACUAGGAUUAAAUGUCAGUCAUUGUGAAAAACUGAGUUUAAAUGUGUUUAGCUAAGGUGUAUGUAAACUUCCAACUUCAACUGUAUGUACCGUUUAAAAAUAUAUAUAGUAAUUGUAUAGCGAGCACUUCAGUGCUGUUCAAUCAAACUAAAUGUUAAUCUUAUUGCACCAACAUAUCAGCAUUCAUUUGUAAUGACCAGGGAAUGUAGUCCCAUCUAAACUCCAUUCCUCCUUUCCCUAAAACUACUAGAUGAAACAUGUAUUUCAAGCUAUUUAAACGAUCUCACUCUCUCUGGCAUAUUCACAAUGUAAUUCUGUGAUUUUAUUGCGAGAAAAUCUCUUCUCUUAUUAAACUUAGGUGAUGUGGAAGUCACAAUGUUGGAAUGUAAAUUUUUUUUUUUUUAAAGCACCCAUACUGAAUUAAUGUAAGACGUGCAUGGAUAUCAUCGCAAAUAUAUGUGUUUCUUUUAAAUAAUUUGUAGUGUCCGCUAAAACAAAUCUGUAUUUUUUAAUAAACUGGUCCCGAUUUUAAAUAAAUUUAUCAUGCAGACCAGCAAAAUUGGAGUCUAUUUGUACCCCCCCUACUGAAUAACUGAUAUCAUGAUUGCAGAAAAUCAAAUAAAGUAUACAUUUGGCUUAUAGUGAACUAUAUGAAAUGAAUGUUCAAUGUAGUAGGCUACCUACCCUUUUGUCUUUAUUAUGUUACGAUUCAACCAACAAAUGUGUACAAGGUGUCAAGUUCCACCCCCCCUCCCAAAAACAAGCAUUUGUUUCACUUAAUAUUCAUAUAAAAAACUAUACUGUCAAAGUGGUUUAAUUAAACAGACGUGAUCUGUAACAGUUGUUUCUCCUGAG
ensembl:lncRNA